rnacentral:rRNA from 1 species
UGGGGAAUCUUCCGCAAUGGACGAAAGUCUGACGGAGCAACGCCGCGUGAGUGAAGAAGGUCUUCGGAUCGUAAAGCUCUGUCUUAGGGGACGAAAGAGCUGUGGCUAAAUACGCCAUGGCAGUGACGGUACUCUAAGAGGAAGCCCCGGCUAACUACGUGCCAGCAGCCGCGGUAAUACGUAGGGGGCGAGCGUUGUCCGGAAUUACUGGGCGUAAAGAGCGCGUAGGCGGCCUGCUAAGUCAGGUGUGAAAACUUAAGGCUCAACCUUAAGAUGGCAUUUGAAACUGACAGGCUUGAGGGCAGGAGAGGAGAGCGGAAUUCCUAGUGUAGCAGUGAAAUGCGUAGAUAUUAGGAGGAACACCAGUGGCGAAGGCGGCUCUCUGGACUGAACCUGACGCUGAGGUGCGAAAGCCAGGGGAGCAAACGGG